UGGGGAAUUUUGCACAAUGGGGGAAACCCUGAUGCAGCGACGCCGCGUGAUUUAGAAGGCCUUCGGGUUGUAAAAAUCUUUUCUAUGGGAAGAAAAUGACAGUACCAUAGGAAUAAGGACCGGCUAAUUACGUUCCAGCAGCCGCGGUAAUACGUAAGGUCCGAGCGUUGUCCGGAAGCAUUGGUCGUAAAGGGUACGUAGGCGGGUAAGCAAGUUAGAAGUGAAAUCCUAUAGCUCAACUAUAGUAAGCUUUUAAAACUGCUCAUCUUGAGGGAUGGAAGGGAAAGUGGAAUUCCUAGUGUAGCGGUGAAAUGCGCAGAUAGUAGGAGGAAUACCGGUGGCGAAGGCGACUUUCUGGCCAUAACCUGACGCUGAGGUACGAAAGCGUGGGUAGCAAACAGG
rnacentral:rRNA from 1 species